GAUGAAGAACGUAGCGAAAUGCGAUAAGUAGUGUGAAUUGCAGAAUUCAGUGAAUCAUCGAAUCUUUGAACGCACAUUGCGCCCCUUGGUAUUCCAUGGGGCAUGCCUGUUCGAGCGUCAUUUGUACCUUCAAGCUCUGCUUGGUGUUGGGUGUUUGUCUCGCCUCUGCGCGUAGACUCGCCUCAAAACAAUUGGCAGCCGGCGUAUUGAUUUCGGAGCGCAGUACAUCUCGCGCUUUGCACUCAUAACGACGACGUCCAAAAGUACAUUUUUACACUCUUGACCUCGGAUCAGGUAGGGAUACCCGCUGAACUUAAGCAUAUCAAUAAGCGGGGA
rnacentral:misc_RNA from 1 species